ACUCGUCUGGGCGAGUAUAAACAGUAAUUAGGCCCAGAGCGUUCCGGCCUUCGUCGGAGGUUUAG
rnacentral:ribozyme from 1 species